rnacentral:lncRNA from 1 species
GGUUGAUACAGUUCCGGUGGGAGAACGCGGCUGCGAGGUUUUCGGCUUUGGCUCCUGAUAUGCAGCGACAGAAUUUUCGGCCCCCAACUCCUCCUUACCCUGGUCCGGGUGGAGGAGGUUGGGGUAGCGGAAGCAGCUUCCGGGGAACCCCGGGCGGGGGCGGACCACGGCCGCCCUCCCCUCGAGACGGGGUUCUCCAAGGACAUCUACACCAUUUGGAUCAGGGCGUGUUAGAGAAAAAAGAAUGUCUAAUGAGUUGGAAAAUUAUUUCAAGCCUUCAAUGCUUGAAGAUCCUUGGGCUGGCCUAGAACCAGUAUCUGUAGUGGAUAUAAGCCAACAAUACAGCAAUACUCAAACAUUCACAGGCAAAAAAGGAAGAUACUUUUGUUAACAUUUCUGAAAUUCAACUGGAAGCUUCAUGUGUCAGGAACAUCUUGGACAAAACUUUAAGUUGUGUUGAUAUAAAUUUACCCAAAGAUGAUGACUUUGAUUGGAUAAUUAGUAAGGUCUUUUUGUUAUUUUUCAUCGUAUCAGGUAUUGUUGAUAUUAGAGAAAAAAGUAGGAUAACUUGCAACAUUUAGCUCUGGAAGUACCUACCACAUUUUAGAGAUUUACCGUUUCCAUAUAUUUAACAUUCCUGGUUAC